CCCCGUCACCGAUCAGAAUGGAAACCGCCUGGGCGAGUCCACAGCUGCAGCCCAGAAGGCCAUUUUCCAGGUGGUGGUGUCCCGCAUCGGCAUGGCAGCCCCGGCCAUGGCCAUCCCCCCGGUGAUCAUGAACGCGCUGGAGAAGAGAGCUUUCCUGAAGCGGUACCCGUAUCUGAACGCUCCCCUGCAGGUCGGCCUGGUGGGACUCUGGUAAGUCACCCUCUGCCGACGGCCAUCACU